UGCGCAGGCGGCCAAGUGUGUUAGAUGUGAAAUCCCGGGGCUCAACCCCGGAACUGCGUCUAAAACUACUUGGCUAGAGCAUUGGAGAGGGUAGCGGAAUUCACGGUGUAGCAGUGAAAUGCGUAGAUAUCGUGAGGAACACCAGAGGCGAAGGCGGCUACCUGGACAAUUGCUGACGCUCAGGCACGAAAGCGUGGGGAGCAAAAGGGAUUAGAUACCCCUGUAGUCCACGCCCUAAACGGUGCACACUAGGUCUUGGCGGAUUCGACCCCACCAGGGCCCAAGCUAACGCGUUAAGUGUGCCGCCUGAGGACUACGGCCGCAAGGCUAAA
rnacentral:rRNA from 1 species